AAUGAACGCUAGCGGCAGGCCUAAUACAUGCAAGUCGAACGGUGUAGCAAUACACAGUGGCGCACGGGUGCGUAACACGUAUGCAACCUACCUUACAUUGGGGGAUAGCCUUUCGAAAGGGAGAUUAAUACCGCAUAAGACAGUAACUAGGCAUCUAGUAGCUGUUAAAGAUUUAUCGAUGUAAGCUGGGCAUGCGUCCAAUUAGUUAGUUGGCGAGGUAAUGGCUCACCAAGACGAUGAUUGGUAGGGGAACUGAGAGGUCAAUCCCCCACCCUGGCACUGAGAUACGGGCCAGACUCCUACGGGAGGCAGCAGUAGAGAAUAUUGGGCAAUGGGCGCAAGCCUGACCCAGCCAUGCCGCGUGCAGGAAGAAGGCGUUAUGCGUUGUAAACUGCUUUUAUACAGGAAGAAACGACCCUUGCGAGGGGCAUUGACGGUACUGUAUGAAUAAGCACCGGCUAACUCCGUGCCAGCAGCCGCGGUAAAAC
rnacentral:rRNA from 1 species